CGGGAUAGCCGCCCGAAAGGACGGGUAAUACCGGAUACCCCGGGGUGCCGCAUGGCACCCCGGCUAAAGCCCCGACGGGAGGGGAUGGCUCCGCGGCCCAUCAGGUAGACGGCGGGGUGACGGCCCACCGUGCCGACAACGGGUAGCCGGGUUGAGAGACCGACCGGCCAGAUUGGGACUGAGACACGGCCCAGACUCCUACGGGAGGCAGCAGUGGGGAAUCUUGCGCAAUGGGGGGAACCCUGACGCAGCGACGCCGCGUGCGGGACGGAGGCCUUCGGGUCGUAAACCGCUUUCAGCAGGGAAGAGUCAAGACUGUACCUGCAGAAGAAGCCCCGGCUAACUA
rnacentral:rRNA from 1 species